GAAGAGUUUGAUCAUGGCUCAGAUUGAACGCUGGCGGCAGGCCUAACACAUGCAAGUCGAACGGUAACAGGAAGAAGCUUGCUUCUUUGCUGACGAGUGGCGGACGGGUGAGUAAUGUCUGGGAAACUGCCUGAUGGAGGGGGAUAACUACUGGAAACGGUAGCUAAUACCGCAUAACGUCGCAAGACCAAAGAGGGGGACCUUCGGGCCUCUUGCCAUCGGAUGUGCCCAGAUGGGAUUAGCUAGUAGGUGGGGUAACGGCUCACCUAGGCGACGAUCCCUAGCUGGUCUGAGAGGAUGACCAGCCACACUGGAACUGAGACACGGUCCAGACUCCUACGGGAGGCAGCAGUGGGGAAUAUUGCACAAUGGGCGCAAGCCUGAUGCAGCCAUGCCGCGUGUAUGAAGAAGGCCUUCGGGUUGUAAAGUACUUUCAGCGGGGAGGAA
rnacentral:rRNA from 1 species